rnacentral:lncRNA from 11 species
GUCAAAUUCCAGCCUCAUUGGUUCUGGGUGUAGAAGUAUGCCGUGAUUACAACGGGAUUUGCCUGAAGACCCGCAAUUGUCCCUUUUUUUCUGCCUGGCAGGACAUAUGUGACAUAGACUACAUUUGCUGUAGAAGUCGAAUAUACACUGAUGAAGACUGUAAGGCAGCAAACGGAAUUUGUAGACCCCGAAGAGGUCCUGACCGUGAAUGUUCAUUCAAUACAUACAAAUUUGGAACAUGUAGCACAGGAGGUGCAUGUUGUAUGAGUGUACCAUAUCUGAAAAGCUUCAAUACCUUAUAAAAAGAGUGAACAGAAAGUCAUGUACUUGAAUUCUAACCAAACCAUAACAGUAGAAAUGCAAAGCUUGAAGCUGAGUGGAUUUGUGCUUUUUGCUAAGCCCUGUGAAAUAAAAAAAACCUGC